GACGAACGCUGGCGGCGUGCUUAACACAUGCAAGUCGAACGGAAAGGCCCGGCUUUUGUUGGGGGCUCGAGUUGCUAACGGGUGAAUAACACGUGAGAAACCUGCCCGUUACGUUGGGAUCACGUCAGUAAACUGGGGCUAAUAGCGGAUAUUAGCGCCUGCUGCAUGGUGGGGGGUGGAUAGUGUCGGCGGUUGGGGAUGUACUCGCGGCUGAUCAGCUUGUUGGUGGGGUAGUGGCUUACGAAGGCUUUGACGGGUAGCCGGCCUGAGAGGGUGACCGGCGACAUGGGGACUGCUCUACGGCGAAGAAGCAUACGGGAGGCAGCAGUGGGGAAUAUUGCACAAUGGGCGGAAGCCUGAUGCAGCAACGCCGGGUGUGGGAUGAUGGACUUCGGGUUGUAACCCGCUUUCGCCUGUGACGAAGCGUGAGUGACGGUAAUGGGUAAAGAAGCACCGGCUAACUACGUG
rnacentral:rRNA from 1 species